CAAUCAACAUUUGGGAAUUUCUUUCUCAAUACAUCGAGCAUCUCGGGGUAUACGUCAACAGCAAUAAUUUCCUUAGGAUGAGACGCGAUGAUCCUUGGUGUAAACUUGCCAGUUCCAGCACCCAGCUCUAAAAUGAUGGAAGUCUCAUCAAUUAAGAAUUCAUCAGUAAUCCAGUCGGUUAUUCCUAUAGGAUAUUCAGGCCUCGCAGCCUCAUAGUCAGCAACAUCAGUUUUAAAUGUUUUCAAGUCAAUUUGUUCAGCCAUCUUUUUAUACUUAACGAUUGUUGUUCACUAGAGUAGAGGUGGUUAAAAACAAUGAUACGACCGGUUGAUAAUUUGAGCUUAAACGCUGCGGUAUUGUGUUGUAUUGUAGUGAAUAUACCACUAAGACUAUUCUGGAUUCAAAUGGACAAUUGGUUGAUGAGUUCGCCUCGGAGAUAGCAAAUUCUUGAAAUUAUUACCUUUUAUGUUUGCAUUAAAUGAAACUUUGAUUUGAUUUAAUAGGAAAUUGGCUGACCAUCACAGGCAGACAAACAACUCUCAACAAAAAUGCUGAAUUCAAAGUUUUUGCAUUUACUACCUUUCCUUGUAAUGGUGGGAUUACGACUAAAAAUUGAAACUGGCUAAAAAAAAUUCGUUUCUAUAUUAUUUUCUCAAUCCAUCUGUUAGGCUAGUGAGACAAAAAAGGAGAAGUCUUAAUGAUGUAGUUAAUUAUAGAAAGAGGGUAAAAAAAAAGAAAAAACAAUCUAAGCAAAGCCGAUUGAGAGUGUCAUCAAUGAUAUGUAUCUCCCAAAAAAGUAUUGAUGAAAUAACGUGAAACAAUCUUAUUAAAUAUCAUUCAUAAAGCUCAUAAUUCCUUGUCAACAAAGGUAAAGGUGCAAAAGAAUCGCUACAAUGAAACUAUACCACGUAGAGUGUAUUACCACUACUCACCACAAUGAACAGUGCUCUGUAAAGUCAAAAAGGCUGAUCAGUUGAUGGGCACCUUUUCAGAGCUAUAAGCCACUGUUAGAAUAUUGAAGUCUACUUGGUCAGUAUUUUGCGCGCGAGGGAUUGUUUUGAUAAUUUCAUCGAGUUCUGCAUGCAUUUUCUCCUUCUCUUCUACUGGUAGUCUAUUAAUAGAAGAAAAGGAAUUCAUUAAUCUGUGCAAAUCUUCGAUAGAAUAUUUUUUCGCAGAAGUGAAUAAGGAUUGCUUCAGUUCAGUAAAUCCAUAGCCAGGAAAAAGUUCAGCUGCCUUUUCAAACAUGUUAAGUGGACCUCCCCGACAUUUUUCUAAAAGCUGACUACACUUUUCAACCCAUGGUACACUGUUAUCACGAAUGUUCCAAAUAAGAGCAAGUUUCCCGUUAGGCUUCAAGACGCGGUAAAUCUCCUUCAAUGCCUCUUCAUUUGCAAACCAGUGGAAGCAUUGCCCACAAGCAACCAAAUCAACGCUUUCAUCCUCGAGGGGAAUAGCCAUAGCUGAACCCACACGACAAUCAACAUUUGGGAAUUUCUUUUUUAAAACAUCAAGCAUCUCUACGUAUGUAUCGACAGCGAUAAUUUCCUUAGGUUGAGACGCUAUAAUUCUUGGCGUAAGCUUACCACUACCUGCGCCAAGCUCUAAAAUAGUAGAAGUCUCAUUAACACUGAAUUCAUCAUUUAACCAUUCCGUUAUUUGUGGUGGAUAAUCGGGUCUUGCGGUUUCGUAAUCAGCAAUAUCAGUUUUAAAUGUUCUCCCAAUCAUUACAAUUAUCGAUUCUCAAUUUUCAAAUAAAGAGUGUAAAAUCAGAUAUGAAUAUAAAUUUAGGUGUUGUUGUCGGCGACGCGUUUAUUAUAAGUUACAAUGAAUUCAAUAAAUUCGAUUUAAUAACUUUCUUAAAUCCGAUACCUGCGAAUAUAUUCGGAAAUUAUAUCAAUCAAUGGAUCUUGUCCUUGAUAGUAUAACUUGGUGCACCAUAAUGUAGUGUAGUAAAUUGCCG